rnacentral:rRNA from 1 species
CCUACGGGAGGCAGCAGUGGGGAAUAUUGCGCAAUGGGCGAAAGCCUGACGCAGCGACGCCGCGUGAGGGAUGAAGGUCUUCGGAUCGUAAACCUCUGUCAGCAGGGAAGAACGGUCACUGUGCUAAUCAGCAGUGAAUUGACGGUACCUGCAAAGGAAGCACCGGCUAACUCCGUGCCAGCAGCCGCGGUAAUACGGAGGGUGCGAGCGUUAAUCGGAAUUACUGGGCGUAAAGCGCUCGUAGGCGGUAUGUCAAGUCAAGGGUGAAGUCCACGCGCUAAACGUGGGAACUGCCUGUGAAACUGGCAAACUGGAGUGUGUGAGAGGAUAGUGGAAUUCCAGGUGUAGGAGUGAAAUCCGUAGAUAUCUGGAGGAACAUCAGUGGCGAAGGCGACUAUCUGGCACAUAACUGACGCUGAGGAGCGAAAGCGUGGGUAGCAAACAGGAUUAGAUACCCGGGUAGUC